UCCGGUUCAUCACCAGCAGUCUCUUUAGAGUCCCCACCAUUACGUGAUGGCAACUAAAGAUAAGGGUUGCGCUCGUUACGGGACUUAACCCAACAUCUCACAACACGAGCUGACGACAGCCAUGCAGCACCUGUCUCUAGGUUCCUUUCGGCACAAUCAUAUCUCUACAAUCUUCCUAGGAUGUCAAGGGUAGGUAAGGUUCUUCGCGUUGCAUCGAAUUAAACCACAUGCUCCACCGCUUGUGCGGGCCCCCGUCAAUUCCUUUGAGUUUUAACCUUGCGGUCGUACUCCCCAGGCGGAAAACUUAUCGCGUUAGCUUCGAUACUAAUCAGUCAUGCUGACCAACAUCUAGUUUUCAUCGUUUACAGCGUGGACUAC
rnacentral:misc_RNA from 1 species